rnacentral:rRNA from 1 species
UGGGGAAUAUUGCACAAUGGGCGCAAGCCUGAUGCAGCCAUGCCGCGUGUAUGAAGAAGGCCUUCGGGUUGUAAAGUACUUUCAGCUGGGAGGAAGGGAGUAAAGUUAAUACCUUUGCUCAUUGACGUUACCCGCAGAAGAAGCACCGGCUAACUCCGUGCCAGCAGCCGCGGUAAUACGGAGGGUGCAAGCGUUAAUCGGAAUUACUGGGCGUAAAGCGCACGUAGGCGGUUUGUUAAGUCAGAUGUGAAAUCCCCGGGCUCACCCUGGGAACUGCCUCUGAUACUGGCAAGCUUGAGUCUCGUAGAGGUGGGUCGAAUUCCAGGUGUAGCGGUGAAAUGCGUAGAGAUCUGGAGGAAUACCGGUGGCGAAGGCGGCCCCCUGGACGAAGACUGACGCUCAGGUGCGAAAGCGUGGGGAGCAAACAGG